AUAAACAUGUACAUGAGCAAAGCUUUGUAUUUUGAUUUGACUCGUUCUUCAAAAAAAUUUCCACCCUUAUUUCUAUUUCAUCUUCCUAUGCUUAUUUUACUCAAAAGAUUAUAAUGGUUAUGAGACCUAGAAAGGGCACUGCUAGUCAUCAUCUUCAAUAAGCUCACAAAAAGUUAUAGUCUCGAGGGGAAAUUUAGAAAAACAAAUGACAUGGUUUAAAGAAGUUCCAUAUAUUGAAACUACCUACAUUAAAUGAUGAAUUUUGAAUGAAGAUGAUAGAAGGUGUAAAAAGGUAAAGACACUAGAUGUGUUGCAUAUUCCAUAUGAAAG
rnacentral:lncRNA from 1 species